UUGUGGGGAUGCACUGAACACCUACAAACUUGGUCAAAUUGAUUUGAAUAUCAAAUCAUUCCAAAUUCAAACUGGAGUCAUCCCCAACUCUACCUCAUCCAUUACUCUCCUAUAAAAAGAGGGGCAGAGGACAAAAAAAACACUACAGAGGGCAGAGGAAAAAAAAAGAAAUACAGAGAGAAUAAGAGAAAUACAAAGCAGAGGAGGAGACGCAGCAAAACGAAACAGAGAAGAAGAGCUACCAGAGAAAGAAAGCUGCAGAGUUCUUCGUCGAAAUGACACUGUUGCUGCUCUCCAAUUCUUAACGCAAUGAAACAAAACGGUUGUUCACGAACGGCCUCGUUUCAAUGCUCAAAAUUCCUCCCGAAUGGUGUUGUAAAUUUAAUGCAUUGGAGAAUUUGGUUGUUCAUGAACAGCCGUAUUCCAAUGCUAAAUCCUCAAAAAAAAAAGACGCUGCUGCCAUCGCUCUUUAAACAUAAUAGAGGUUGUUUAUAAACAGCCGCGUUUAAUGCUAAAGAGCCCCCCUCACAUGGCGUCAUUGCUAUCGCUGUUUGAUGACCAAGAUAAGGCCGUUCACGAACGACCUCAAAAGUCCAUCAGUUGUUCUCUGUCUUCACAAAGAACAGACAGAGAAAAUGAAGUUGAAUAUUCAAGUCAGAAAUUGAAGGCCACAACAGAGUGGUCAAGUUGCACUAAUAUGAUGGACUUCAAACAUUUCCUAAGGCAAGCCGCUGGGAAUUAGAAGAAAAAAAUGUUUUGCAAAGUUGUGGGGUUUCAAUUAAACCAACAGAAGCACAUGGAAGAUGAUAAGUCUGGAGCGGCAAUUUUUGUCCUAACCAAGCUUGAACCAUGAUUGAUCUCCAUGAUUAUCCUUGAGAAGCCAUGUUUCAUGUUCUUUUGCUCA